rnacentral:rRNA from 1 species
UACGGAGGAUCCAAGCGUUAUCCGGAUUCACUGGGUUUAAAGGGUGCGUAGGUGGGCAGGUAAGUCAGUGGUGAAAUCUCCGGGCUUAACCUGGAAACUGCCGUUGAUACUAUCUGUCUUGAAUGUAGUGGAGGUGAGCGGAACAUGUCAUGUAGCGGUGAAAUGCUUAGAUAUGACAUAGAACAUCGAUUGCGAAGGCAGCUCGCUACACUACGAUUGACACUGAGGCACGAAAGCGUGGGGAUCAAACAGG